GCUGGGUGUGGUGGCGGGCGCCUGUAAUCCCAGCUACUCAGGAGGCUGAGGCAGGGGAAUAGCUUGAGCCCGGGAGGCAGAGAUUGCAAUGAGCUGAGAUUGAGCCACUGCACUCGAGCCUGGGCAACAGAGCAACACUCUGUCUCAA
rfam:Pongo abelii chromosome 7.